CGGUGCAUAGCGCAGCUCGGUAGCGUACCUGCCUUGGGAGCAGGGGGUCGCAGGUUCAAAUCCUGCUGCACCGACCA
rnacentral:tRNA from 4 species